rnacentral:lncRNA from 1 species
CCCACCUACCUAGAGUUGUCAGUUUCCCCGGGCUCCUGACCAUGCCUGUGUUGUUUCUCUUAUGGGUCUGUGUAGUCAUUAUUGUUUUCCCAACUCCAUUUGUGUUUUUAUGCAUAAGAAUCAUGUUUGAUUCCUCUUUUCAGUCCCCUGGGUAGAAAAUGGUAGGAGUUGUCCUUUAUGGUGUCCAAUUUGGGCCUGUACCAUCAGUCUGCACCUGCCUUCUCUACUAGAUUUGGUCGAGUUUACAGAACAUUCCGGGGCUUAGGGAGAUGACAUUCCAAUGACAUGGCCUGUUGUGAUUCAAGAAAUAGGGGAGAUGCAAAAAGCCCAUGGGAGGAGGUUUUAUUUAUUUAUUUAAGAGAGGGAGAAGAGCAAGAAUCCCAAGCAGAUUCACACUCAAUGUGGAGCCCCAUGUGGGGCUCGAUCCCACAACCCUGAGAUCAUGACCUGAGCCAAAAUCAAGAGUCAGACGCUUAACUGACUGAGCCACCCAGGCAUCCUGAAAAUGUAAUGUUUCUAACUAGUGACAUAAAAAUAAACUUUGUAAGGAAUUCAUGGUCAUAACUGGGGUGGAAACUAGCUUUCUUCAUUUGAAAGAAGUCCAUUAAGCAAGAUUUUUAAAAAUCCAGAAGAGUAUGUUGUGGCCUUUCCUAUUCUUCUCAGCCUAUUCCAAUUUCUCAAACUACACUGAGUUUUUAUAUGGCAUUUCCCCUUCUAAUUCAGCCCUACUGUUGCUUUGAAGCUAUACUUUCUCAGGAAGGACUCUACCCCAGGAAGGACUUAAGACUAUUUUGGCGAGAAAACUUUCCUGCAUCUGCUGUGAAUUCUCUUUAUGGGUUGUCUGUGUAGCCUGUUAAUGACCUUAAAAGGGGGAUUCAAUUAACCUGUAGGAAAAAAAGACAAUGAUUUUGAUUUCUCAAAAUUAUAUUUAUUAACUGUGUUUUCCAGUAGUAAUUAGGAAGAAAACUUUUCAGUAGAGAGGAUCUCUGGUGCAGCAAGUAGGGGUCCAGACAAGCUGGAGAUGCACCAGUUUUUUUCAUAGCUAGUCCACAAGAGAGAGGAACCUCUGAAAAACCAUUGUAUUGUAGCAGUUUAGAGCAGGAGAGAAAAAUAUGGGAUUUCUGUUGUCCUAUUUGAUGGACAGGAAUUUGUCCUACUCAUAGCCCAUCAUAUGGGGACAGGAACACUGGGAAGGCUAAGACUGUAUGCUUUAAAUUGUUUGUAAUAGUCCUUGGUGGGCAGAUAGUUUAUUUAUAAAGAACUUGAUCAUAAUAG